rnacentral:rRNA from 1 species
CCUACGGGAGGCAGCAGUGGGGAAUAUUGCACAAUGGGGGAAACCCUGAUGCAGCGACGCCGCGUGAGUGAAGAAGUAUCUCGGUACGUAAAGCUCUAUCAGCAGGGAAGAAAAUGACGGUACCUGACUCAGAAGCCCCGGCUAACUACGUGCCAGCAGCCGCGGUAAUACGUAGGGGGCAAGCGUUAUCCGGAUUUACUGGGUGUAAAGGGAGCGUAGACGGCAGCACAAGUCUGGAGGGAAAUCCCGGGGCUUAACCCCGGAACUGCUUUGGAAACUGUGCGGCUGGAGCGCAGGAGGGGUAAGCGGAAUUCCUAGUGUAGCGGUGAAAUGCGUAGAUAUUAGGAGGAACACCGGUGGCGAAGGCGGCUUACUGGACUGUAACUGACGUUGAGGCUCGAAAGCGUGGGGAGCAAACAGGAUUAGAUACCCUUGUAGUC